rnacentral:rRNA from 1 species
AUGUUUUGUUGUUUCGAUUGCAGGCCUCCGCGCCCGCAGUUGAGAGACCCACGGAUCUCUCUAUCUACUUUUGAUCCCAAAAAUGUUAUACAACCAGACACCUCAUUGAGCAGAGGUCAGAAGUCAUCCCUGCUUGUGGCAUAUGAAGUCGAUGCUGUCGGUCCUAUUCUAGUCAUCAAGCACAUGCGUCCAUUUCUGAAGAUUGGAGCGACCUUGGAAACAGGGAAGGGUUGCUCGUUGGUUGCAGAUAUGAGCGCCAGCCAGAGUAGGCUCGACAGGAGACAAUGGUCUGGGAGGCCGGCAUUUGUAUAA